CUUUGACAUGCCAAAGCUACGUGCGGCGUUGACGAAGCUUCUCGGUAGCCGUUGAACUAUUCGGUUGUCCCUCGUUUGACGGUCAAGAGGGGUUCGAAAACAAAGUUCGUGCUUGUUCUAGGCGUGCAUAGAUAAGGGGUUGGUGCUAUGUGUUAGGUCCUUCCCAACCCCCGUUGCAUGUCGAAAGCGAGUUCGUGCGGCGUCGACGAAACUUCUCGGUAGCCGUUGAACUAUUCGGUUGUCCCUCGUUUCACGGUCAAGAGGGGUUCGAAAACAAAGUUCGUGCUUGUUCUAGGCGUGCAUGGAUAAGGGGUUGGUGCUAUGUGUUAGGUCCUUCCCAACCCCCGUUGCAUGUCGAAAGCGAGUUCGUGCGGCGUCGACGAAGCUUCUCGGUAGCCGUUGAACUAUUCGGUUGUCCCUGUUGCCUUUCGAAUGUGUUUUCAUGCCUAGCGGUGCGGCUCGGCUCCUACCUGGCGUAUUUGCACUCAAGACGCACCCCUUUAUUGGGGCUAGUCGAGAUGUGUUUUUCGUUGGGCGGUGCUGGGUUUAGCUAUAACGUGACGGCGUAUGAGUGGUAAUUGGGUUGUAUUCGACGGCAGGCUCCGUGCUUCGGCAUCGAACUGUCGGCUCGUACCCCGCUUCAUUGAUGCAUCAAGAUUUGUCUUGUGCUCAAGAUGGGUUUCUGUUUUGGCUACCUAUUGCGAAGGAAUGUUGCCUCUCGUAGUCCCUUUCCUCCUCUUGCUGGCCUUGCCGGCGGGAGGACGACAUCGUAGCGGUACUCGUGUCCCGGACGAGCCACACUCGUUGUGAUGCAGUUUCGGUCCUCGAGUUUCCGCUCGACAUCUCGGAUGCGGAACACUAAAAGGGGCGGUGGGUCUUUACGGCCUCCGAUCGUCCACUCGAAGCCUUGUCGCUUGAUGCGUACGACUGUCGUGCCCGUUGCGAGAUGCCGACCGUCAAGGUCGUUCGUCUGGCGCGGCGCCGGCGUCGAAGAGGAAUGC
rnacentral:misc_RNA from 1 species